rnacentral:misc_RNA from 1 species
GAUGAAGAACGCAGCGAAAUGCGAUAAGUAAUGUGAAUUGCAGAAUUCAGUGAAUCAUCGAAUCUUUGAACGCACAUUGCGCCCCCUGGUAUUCCGGGGGGCAUGCCUGUCCGAGCGUCAUUACAACCCUCAAGCUCAGCUUGGUGUUGGGCCCCGCCGCCCCGGCGGGCCCUAAAGUCAGUGGCGGUGCCGUCCGGCUCCGAGCGUAGUAAUUCUUCUCGCUCUGGAGGUCCGGUCGUGUGCUCGCCAGCAACCCCCAAUUUUUUUCAGGUUGACCUCGGAUCAGGUAGGGAUACCGCUGAACUUAAGCAUAUCAAUAAGCGGAGGA